rnacentral:misc_RNA from 1 species
AAGUCGUAACAAGGUCUCCGUAGGUGAACCUGCGGAGGGAUCAUUACCGAGUGAAGGGCUUUCGGGCCCGACCUCCAACCCCAUGUUAUCCGACCCAGUUGCCUCGGGGGCGACCCGGCCUCACGGCCAGGGGCCCCCGCUGGACCGUCCAACACUGCAUCGUUGCGUCCGAGUCAAUAUUGAAUAAUCAAAACUUUUAACAACGGAUCUCUUGGUUCUG